AUACGGAGGAUCCGAGCGUUAUCCGGAUUUAUUGGGUUUAAAGGGUGCGCAGGCGGGAGAUUAAGUCGGCGGUGAAAUUUUGCAGCUCAACUGUAAAAGUGCCUUCGAAACUGGUUUCCUUGAGUGUAGAUGAAGUAGGCGGAAUUUGUGGUGUAGCGGGGAAAUGCAUAGAUAUCACGAGGAACUCCGAUUGCGCAGGCAGCUUACUAAACUACUACUGACGCUCAGGCACGAAGGCGUGGGGAUCAAACAGGAUUAGAUACCCUGGUAGUCCACGCAGUAAACGAUGAUUACUAGCUGUUUGCGAUACAAUGUAAGCGGCUGAGCGAAAGCGUUAAGUAAUCCACCUGGGGAGUACGUUCGCAAGAAUGAAACUUAAAGGAAUUGACGGGG
rnacentral:rRNA from 1 species